CCGGUUAGGGUACUGACACGAUGCAAAACCUACAAGAAGGCCCUCAAGAAAUCUCGGCUAGCCGAAGAAACAUCAACACUUGAAACGUCGGAGUUUUCAGCCCCGGAGGCCGAAACUCCUGAGGAUGUCUUCACAACCUAUGACGAUGCGCCAUCGCACCGUCUGGCCUUGCCCUCUCCACGUAAGUUGAAUAAAUAUUGGUAAUGUAGGCA